GGGCAUGUAAUUCAGUGGCAGAAUACUGCUUUCGCAUAGCAGAUACAUGAGUUCAAUUCUCAUCAUGUCCA
rnacentral:tRNA from 1 species